UAAUAAGAGUUUAUGGCACUUCUUAAAUCCAUAUCCACCUUGUGUGCAAUGUCAGCCGUUUUCUUUAUGAAAGCGGCCAAACAUCAACUUAUUUUUUAACUGUCUGUCUGAAAACUAUUAUGAAUAAACAAUUCAAAUA
rnacentral:misc_RNA from 1 species